CACGAGCUCAGUGAAACAAGCCCCACCAAGACAGCACUGAUCAGAAGAACCUUGCCACCCAUCUUGCUCUCAGUGUGUGCAGACAGGACAGAAUAAGCAACUGAACUGAACUGAACUGGUGGAGAUGCUUGAGUUGAUGAACUGAAGGGUCUCUGGAUGCCUAUUUAUACACGAGAGUGGCACUCGACAGUUGCGUUGAUUCCAUUGCAUGCAUGGACCUGUGUAUGUUCAUCACACUGUUAGUAGUUGGCUAUGAAUUAAUGGCUUCAAUUCGUCCAGCUAGCCAGGCAUGACGGUGAUCUGCUCACCGGCUCUGAAGUUUAGCAUGAGCAAGCUCCCACUGCUUCUUUCCGCACGGAAUGGAAUACUCUCCGGUCCCGAAGAUUUAAUUGUGAUCGGUGCUUGCCAACUACUCGGUGUACUUAAACUAUGCAUCGAGCUGGAUUUGAUGCUUUGACUCCAGAAUUGAAUUUGGGAAAUCCAAUGGAAACAUGGUGGGGGUAUGUUUUCUUGCUUCUACUGGAAUGUGGGAUGACCCCAACCCAUUUUACUCUUGCCUUUGUUUGUACUCCCUCCGUUCCUAAAUGUAAGUCUUUGUAGAGAUUUCAUUAUGAACCACAUACGGAUGUAUAUAGAUGCAUUUUAAGUUUAGAUUCAUUCAUUCUGCUUCGUAUGUAGUCCACCUAAUGGAAUCCCUACAAAGACUUAUAUUUAGGAACGGAGGGAGUAUUACUGAAGCUGUCUUUUGGUCCAACUGGAAUGUGGUGUGGAGGAUUCGGUCUGCUUUUGCUAGCUAGAAGUCUAACCCCUGUAAGUGUCAUGCAUUUCAUCUUUAGAUAAAUGGGGAAAAGUAAGUUUUGCUUAUUACCACAGAUUUGCGCUUCAAAUGUUUCUGUUCCUUUUGAUUCGCUUCUACCUUCAUCAGUGAAAGGCUGUCUUUUCUUCAAAAAAAAAAAAAUCUAGUGCUGUUGGUCUGUAUUACUUACAGUAGAAUACUCCACAUAAAAAGUGAUAAUAUUGCAGCUGUCAUUCAAGAACAUCACAUGUGUUAUCAAGAUUUCUGUUCGCAAUGGACUGUAUCUAACUUCAGUUGGAAUUACAGUUUAGGAGCCAAUAAUAGAAGAAUGAUCCAAGAGAACUGUGGCUCAUCUACUUGCACAAUGGGCGCGAUUGGCCUUGAGCACGGAGACUCCAUGUGACCUCUCGUGCAUUUGCCGGCAAAGAGGUUUGGAGCGCCUUGAAGGUACCCAGGAAUCUCGUUCCAUGGCUGCCAUUUUCAAAGGGUACAGUAAUUUUGAUGAUUGUUGUGGGCCCUUGAAAUUUGGAGCACCCAUGUUCAAACAUAUUUUAUCGCUCGCAUUCCAUCUUGAUUGUUUUAACUUUGAUGGCGCGAAGCGCCACCCGCGGAAUUUUACCAUGACGGUCUCUGCCUCA